rnacentral:misc_RNA from 1 species
AAGUCGUAACAAGGUUUCCGUAGGUGAACCUGCGGAAGGAUCAUUAACACAAAGUCAACGAAGCCUUCAUCGGCCGAGUUCUCUUUUCACCCCCCUUUUGUGCGAACGUGUGUUUUUAUACUGUUUUGGGGUAGAGUCUUUACGAAUUCGACCGCGUGUUGUAUUCGUUCUCUCUGCCUUUUUCAACUUUUAACUUUAACCCCUUGAACUGUCUUUGACUGAACUUGUAUCUUACACUUUUCGAAGUGUAACAUAGACACAUCCAACGCUGAACAACUCUUAGCAACGGAUAUCUUGGCUCUC